rnacentral:rRNA from 1 species
AUACGUAGGUGGCAAGCGUUGUCCGGAAUUAUUGGGCGUAAAGCGCGCGCAGGUGGUUCCUUAAGUCUGAUGUGAAAGCCCCCGGCUCAACCGGGGAGGGUCAUUGGAAACUGGGGAACUUGAGUGCAGAAGAGGAUAGUGGAAUUCCAAGUGUAGCGGUGAAAUGCGUAGAGAUUUGGAGGAGCACCAGUGGCGAAGGCGACUGUCUGGUGUGUAACGGACACUGAGGCGCGAAAGCGUGGGGAGCAAACAGGAUUAGAUACCCUGGUAGUCCACGCCGUAAACGAUGAGUGCUAAGUGUUGGGGGGUUUCCGCCCCUCAGUGCUGCAGCUAACGCAUUAAGCACUCCGCCUGGGGAGUACGGUCGCAAGACUGAAACUCAAAGGAAUUGACGGGG